rnacentral:rRNA from 1 species
UACGUAGGGGGCAAGCGUUGUCCGGAAUCAUUGGGCGUAAAGCGCGCGUAGGCGGCCCUGUAAGUCCGUUGUGAAAGUCAAAGGCUCAACCUUUGAAAGCCGGUGGAUACUGUCGGGCUCGAGUCCGGAAGAGGCGAGUGGAAUUCCUGGUGUAGCGGUGGAAUGCGCAGAUAUCAGGAGGAACACCAAUGGCGAAGGCAGCUCGCUGGGACGGUACUGACGCUGAGGCGCGAAAGCGUGGGGAGCAAACAGG